rnacentral:rRNA from 1 species
AGGCUUGUUUGAAUGGUUUGACGAGGGGAGGGGCAUAUAUUUAUUAUUUUUUUGAAAUUAUUGUUGAGGGUACAGAAUCCUCAAAGGUUAAUUAGACGGAAAGACCCCGGGAUCUUUUAUUUUUGCCUGGGGCAGGUUUUAAUAUUUCAUUAAUAUUAUGGCCCUAAUGGUUUAGUGAGUAAGUUACCCCGGGGAUAACAGUGUAAUAGUUAAUAAGAGAUCGUAUCGAAUUAACUGUUUGCCACCUCGAUGUUGACUUAGGUAAAGUUAUUGGCGCAGUUGUCGAUGACUUGGGUCUGUUCGACCUUAUAUACCUCCAUGAGUUGAGUUAAGACCGGCGUAAGCCAGGUCGGUUCUUAUCUAUUAGUGAGGCUUAUUAGUACGAAAGGACCGUAAGUCUUUUUAUU